AAAAAGUCAAAUUCAAGUACUAAUUUGAACAAAAUAAACUUGUUUAAAAUUAAGUUCAAAUACAAAAAUGUAUAUUUGCCCGAUAACAAACAACCAAACCCAAAAUAAUUAGCUUGAAUUGACCCAAACUUAAUUAGAAAAAUCUUCAAACCUAGGUAAUCUGAACCUAAAAAAGCUCCAACCUGAACUUAGUUAACUAAAAGAAUAUAAUCUUCAAAAUUAGAUAUCAAUGCGGUGAGCGUGGAUCAAACACGCGACCUUCAGAUCUUCAGUCUGACGCUCUCCCAACUGAGCUAUCCCCGCCGAUGCUUUUUAGAACUGUGCUUAAAGAAAUAUAUUUUAUCUUCAUUCCCUCCAAUGUAUACCCAAAUGUCUACCAUUCGAAACCCUAGCUAUAACACUUAAUACAGGUCUAAGUGUUCUACAGACUAAAGCUGGACUCGACUUCAAUUUAUGAGUGAUACAGAUCACACUGUAAAAUAUUGAUGCCAGAUUUUCACUUAACAAGAUCAUAAAUAUUAUUAUCACAAAUCAAUUAUAUAAAACAACACAACAAUACGAUAAUUAAUCUUAAUAUUCAGGAUCGAAGUCAAAUUUAAGAGGCAGAAAUUAAAUUAUAAAUUUUUUGAAAUUGAUAUAUAUUAAAUUUUAUCAUUGUAUUAACUUAUACCUUCACAAUUUUAUAACACGAUUUUACCAUCAAAGAAUAGAAAAGGAAAGCGAUGAGAGUUCAAACCAGAACUGUCAAUGAGCAUUUUUGCAUCUUUUCCUUCGUUCUUUCGGUGACGACGACUGGUUUAGGAUUUGAAGUCAAUGACAUGUUGAAUCACUUGCGAAGAUUGACUAAGACGAAGGCGAAGGAGAUCCGAUCAUGGAAGGAGAGAAAGAGAUCAGCCGUGAAGUGUGGUCUUGCCGCCGAGAAGAACACGGCGGAGGAAGAGGAGAAAGUAGCGCCAUUGAAAUGUAUAGAUCGAAUAAGACGAGGGCGAAGGAGAUCCUAUCAUGGAAGGAGAGAAAGAGAUCGGCCGUGAAGUGUGGAGUUACCGUCGAGGAGAAGAAGAACACGGCGGAGGAAGAGGAGAAAGUAGCGCCAUUGAAAUGCGAUUGGCGCCUUCUGCCCAAUUAACCAAUUAAAUAUUUUCCCGCUUUAACAGAAAAUCUACCGGGAGCCGUUCAGUUUUUCCCUUUAAACGAUUGCUGAAAUUCAUAUUUUGAUGCAUUAUGAUGCUAAAAUUUAAAAUUUAAUUUAUGUAUUUUAAUUUAAAAUAACUUGAUAUUUUAUUUUUAUUGUGGGAUUAUUUAAAAUAGUUAAUAUAACAGUAAAUUUUAAUCCACAUCUAUAAUUCAAUUCGAUUAAUUCAAAAUCAAAUUUAUUUUAAUCUGAUUUUAUUAUAAAAAAUUCAUAGUUUAACUUUAUUUAACUUGAAUUCAGAUUUAUCUAAACUCAAAUUCACUUGAAUUCUAAACAAUUUAAAUCUAAAAUAAUUUGAAUAAAUAACCUAAAAUGAUAUAAACUCAUAAUGAAUGAAAAAAGAAAUUCAAACCUCAAAUUUGAAUAAUCCAAACUCAAAAAAACUAAAUUUUUAAAUUUUUAAAAACUCGAUCCAAAACCAAUUUAACUUAAAAUAAUCCAAAUAAAAAGUGACUGAAAUAAAAAAUAAUUUAAAAUAGUUACAAAUAAAUCCAAAAAUACACCAGCUUUAGAAUUUAAAUGAUUCAACCUCAAAACUACAAAAUUUAAAAAUACCAUUACCCCAAUUGACUCGAUGAACCAAAAAAACAAGCUAAAGCCUUAAAUCUACCUUAGUCUGAAAACCAAUAAAAACAAUAAAGAUAUCCAAAAAAAUAAAAAUAAAGCUGGAAAAAUUUAUAACCCAAAUUGACUCAAUGAAGCAACACAAAUGAAUGCUACAGCUUUUCAAAAUUUAAAUCCUAUUUGCAAUUUCUCCAAUGAGAUGCUAAAUUCAAAUUUUCAUCUGCCCUGACUACAAUUUAUCUACAGACUAAUUUUCAUUUAACAACAUUAUCAUAUUAUUAGAUUUUACAGUCGAUCGUAGCUGAUUAAAUUUUUCCUAUCACCUAGAAAUUUAGGGAGGUUGAUAAAAAUUGAAAGGAUUUAAAAAGAAAUUUAAAAACAAAAAAAAAAACCAAAGAAGAGAGUACCUAAGAGAUGAAAGUUCAAACCAGAGAGUCAAUGACGUCGAUAAACUUGCUAAGGCAACGGAGACGAAGGCAAAGAAAGCUCCGAUCAUGGAAGCAGAGAAAGAGAAUCGGCUAUGAAGUGUUGAGAGAUGAAGAGGAAGAAGAAACAUGGCGGCGGAGGAAGAGGAGAAAGUAGCGCCAUUUGAAUCAAUAUAAUUUGAUUUUACCUCAAAAAUUUCAUAAUCUGAAUUUAUCAACUUAAUCCAAAUUUACUUCAACCUAAACUAGAUUGAACAAUUAGAUAGAAACUAAAAAAUUCGAAAAAGCAACUUCAAAUAUCCAAAUUUAAAAUGACAAAAAAAUUUAUUUAACUCGUAAUGAACUAAAAAAAUAGAUAACAUUUAGUUUUCUGUUCGAACUUCUCUAAAAAUAUUUAAAUAGUAUUUGAAUUUGUAUUCGGUUAUAUAGGUUGGUAUAUUUGCUCAUGGGUCCGUCCAUACAAGGUAUGUAAAUCAAUUUUCUAAGUUUGUCUCGACUCGAAAAAUGAGUUUAUAUUUUUGCAUAUGCUUGAUCCAAUUUAAGAAAAGUAAACUCAGUGUCAACCCAAUACGUCCAUAUUUGAUUUUUUUAGAUCAAUUUUAUUUAAAAAUAAAUUUAAAAAAAAAUUAUAGUACACUAAAUGCACUAAAAAAUCACUAAAAUAUAUUUUUUUCUAACAUAUGAAAAAUACAUUGAAAAGUAUUUAUAUUAAAAACACUACCAUAAAUAUAAUAAAUAUUUUAUUAUAUUAAAAAACACAAAUAAAUAUAAUAAUUAUUUUAUUACAUUAAAUAUAAUUUUUAAAAUUUUAUAUUUUGGGUUGAAUUAUUUAAUUGGGUGAGUUUUAUUUUAAGUUUUGGAUAUUUUUUUUAAUAACAUAAUAUAUCCAGGCCGUGCUCAAGCAAAAAAAAUCUUGCUCAAGGCUCAGCCCAUAUAAAAAAUUGGCCUCAAAAUUUACUCAAGCUCAUUUUUUGAGUCUCGUAUUUUUAUCUAAACUCUCUAAUUUUUCAGGUGGGCCUUCAAUCUAGAGUGAGUGAAUUAACUCAUGGCCAAGUCUAUUCUACACUAACACCGUUAGUUUAUACUAACAUACCACAUAUAUAAAUUUCAAAAUUUUCAAAAAAAAAACCUUUAAAAAUAUAUAUAUAAUUUUUUUCACAUUAAAAAUAAAGCUAAAAAAAUUUAUGCUUUUUAAUUAAUUUAUUUACUUUUAAAUAUAUAUAUAUUUUAAUUUAUGCUCAUUACAUAGUAUAUUGAGACAUCGACACAUAUCACCAUUAAAUUAAUUAUUCGUGUCACGUCAACACAAACUAACAAUGUUAGUCUAAAAGUACCAAUUUAGAUGACAAAAUAUAAAUUUAAGUACUAACAAUGUUCAAAAGGUAAACUACAUAUUAACUCCAAAAAAAGAGAAAUUUAACCUUAAACUCGAAUAAUUCAAACUCAGAACAUAAGAGCUUUAAAAUCCCAAUUGACUCAAUACAAAACCAAUUUAACUCAGAAUUGAUUCAAUCCUAAUGUGUUGGACAGAAAAAAAAUCCUAAAGUGACUAAAAAUAAAGAAUAAUACAAACUCAUAAUAAAUUAUAAAAAAAACCCCUUGAACCUAAAUGAUUCAAACACAAAAUGUCAAAACUUGAAAUUUUAAAAACUUUAAUUAAUCCUAUGAACCGACCGAAAAAAAAAUUCAAGCCUUAAACCUAUUGUGACCCCAAUUGACUCAAUCCAGAAAAGAAUACUCAAGUCUUAGAGCUGCCCUGAUCUCAAUUAACACAAUCCAAAAAAUAAAAAAUGCAAUGAACUGGAUCGAACACUUGACUAAAAAUAAAGAAUGAUACAAAUUCGUAAUAAAUUAUAAAAAAGAAUCCAAGCCUUGAACUUAAAUGAUUCAAACUCAAAAUGUCAAAACCUUAAUUAAUUCUAUGAACCAACCCCAAAAAUAAAAAACUCAAGCCUUAAACCUACCCUGACCCCAAUUGACUCGAUCCAAAAAGGAAUACUCAAGCGUUAGACCUGCCCUGAUCUCAAUUAACCCGAUUCAAAAAAUAAAAAUUGCGGUGACCGUGGAUCGAACACGUGACCUUCAUAUCUUCAGUCUGACGCUCUCCCAACUGAGCUAUCCCCGCAGAUGCUUACUGUUCAAUUUUACAACUUUAAAUCUUAUUUGCAGGUUUUCUCCUAAAUUCAACCUCCCUAAAACUAUUGUAAUUAGAGUGAUCCAAAAUCACAACGUAGAGACAUUGAUAACACAAAACAAUAUGAUAGAACAUUAAAGCAAUCUUAAUGCAUUAUCUUUUUCUAAAAAAAAUAGAAAGAUGGAUAAAAAUUGAAGGCUUUAGAAGAAAUCAAAGAGAGUACCUUAGAGCGAUUUGAUUCGUUCUUUGGAGACGAUGGCGACUUCAAGAUUUGUAGUGUUAACAAUGCUAGAUCACUUGCGAAGACAACGAAAAUGAAAGCAAAGAAGCUCCGGUAAUAGAAGGAGAGAAAGAGAUCGGCUUUUCUGAAGUGGCAGAGAAAAAGAACAUGAUGGAGGAACAGGAGAAAGUGGCGCCAUUGAAAUGUGUUUGGCGCCUUAUCAAAUUAUUGAGAAAAAAAAUUGAAAAAUCUAAAUCGAAUUCAAAAUAAAUUCAACUUAUAAGUGAAAUAGUAAAAGCAAGAGAAAUUUAAAGCAGAUCCAAAAUCAAUUUGAUUGGUAAAUAGCAUAAUUAAAGCAAUAUUAUCAAGAAAAGGAUUGAAAAUUAAAAAUUAAUUCAACUCAUAAGGGAAAUUCAAAGAUCUAAAAUCAAUUCGAUUUAAAAAUGACGUAGUUAAAGCAAUGUUAUCGAGAAAAUAUAUUAAAAAUACAAAACCGAUCGAAAAUCGAUUCAACUCAUCAGUAAAAUUGUAAAAGAAAAUAAAAAUGGAAAAUACAGUAAACUUUGAUCAAACACACAACAGAGAGAUCGAUAAAAUUGGAAUGAUUUAAAAGAGAUGAAAAACAAAAAGAAAAGAAAUCAAAGAGAGUACCUAAGAGUUUAAUCCAGAGAACGUGAAUGAGCAUUUUUGCGGCUACUUCAAGAUUUGUAGUGUUAACAAUGCUGGAUCACUUGCGAAGAUAACGAAAAUGAAUGCAAUGAAGCUCUGAUCAUGGAAGGAGAGAGAUCAGCUUUUUUGAAGUAUGAAGUUGCAGGUUAGAAGAGAAGGAAGAAGAACAUGGCGGGAGGAAUUGGAGAAAACGGCGCCAUUGAAAUGUGUUUGGCGCCUUAUGCAUUUAAUCAAUUAAAUAUCCGUUUUAUACUUUUUUUUUAAUCUUAGAUGUUGGAUGAUUAUAUUAAAAUUCAAAAAUAUAAAAAUUAAAUCUCAACUAUCAAUGUAAAAACAUAUUCCAACCUAUGUAACACGAAAUAUUAACAUGUUAAUUUAACUGAUAAUCUAUAUUUUUUAAACAUGAUUAAAUGUAAAUUGAUCAGAUCACCGGUACAUUAAUUUAAUUGGUCUGAACAAUUCAAUAAAAUAAUUCAUUAAAAAUUUUGUAAAACUAUUUAAAAAAUAUUAAAAAUUGGUUCAACCACCGAUUUUCUAUCAAUCUAUACUAAUUCACAAAUCUACUAGUCUAAAACCUUUUUCCAAACCCGUACCCUAACCAAUUUUGAAUCCUAACAGAUCCAAUUCAAAUAACCAUAACCAAAACAAAUAUAUAACUAAAAUGCAAUAGAAGAACCGCUAAGUUUAAUACAAGAAUUGCUUCUAACCUUAAGACAUUUAGCUAAAUUUAACAAAGUUAUAAAGCAAACAGUCCGAGAAGAAACUAAAUUUAUUAGAAUAGUUUCUAGCCUCUUAAUGCACUUAACUAAAUUCAACAAAAAAAAAUACAGCAAACACCCUAAGAGGAAACUGUUCACUAAAUUUAAUAGAAGAACCGCUUCUAGCCUAUUAAGAUACUUAACCUAAGGGAAAGGAUUGUAUGAAACAGUGACGUCACGUCCUUUGUAUCUCUUUUUCAAUAGUUUUAGGUCACAUCAAUAUUUUCAUCUUGAAAAAAAUCAAAUCCAAAUUAAAAUUCUGAAAUUCAAGAUAAGAAUACUAAUAUGACAUAAAAUUACAAAGUUACAAAGCAAACACCCAAAAUUAAUGUAAUAGGGCCCAAUUGACCCAAGUCCAAAUAAAAUUAACAGUCCAACAAAUACAGGCCUGCACAAGCCCAAUACACCAAAAACAAAAAAGGAAAGGAGAACCCUAGCCCCGAAUGCACCCAGCAGCCGCAUGUCUGCCCAACUCCGCCUCCAGCAGUUCCCAGGCGCCGCACGUCUCGGAAUCGACCACCCCAUGCGCGCCGUUUGCUCCACGUUCACCUGCCAAUGCGGACUCAAAGAGUCCGAAGAGAAAAAAACAAGCAAAAUAAUUGUAUUUUUAUUUCUUUUUUCGGCCUAUAAAAGGGUCUUCUAUAAUCUGUAACGGGGGAGGGGGCAUUCGAAAAGAGACAGAAACAGAAGGUAUUCAUCAUUUUUUUUUAGAUUCGAUCUUUUUUUUUUGUUUUUAUUUUAUUUAUUUUUCGCUUAAAAUAUAAAAGCUAGGAGGAUCAUACCGGGCUUUGUCGCGGUUCAUCCCAUCUCCGUAGCGAUCGGAGACGGGGGUGACUGAGGCCGUGGAUCGGCCUGAGACGACGGCGGCGGCUGAGAGAAGGGUACAAAACCCUAGCAGACAAACAACGGCUUUUUUUUUAAAUUUUAUAAAACUGCAAAUGUUUUUAAAAAAAAAAAGGGAAAAACUGUUUUAAAACUAAAGAGUAAAACGGCGCCGUUUAAAGAGGCCAGAUCCGCGCGUUGACCCGACCCGCAAGCAGGGUCCGCGCGUUCUGGCCUUAAAUGGGGAAUUUUCACGUUUGGUCCCCAUUGUUUUAUUUUUCUUUUAAUUCAGUAUUUUAUGUAUUUUCGAUUUCGCCACGAAAUUUCUUGCCUGUUGCAAUCUGGUCCAGGGACCAUGUGCAUGCGCCAAUGGAACGGCGCCGUUUGGCCAAACGCGGGGAUAUUUAUUUCUUUGGUCCUCCCUUUUUCAUGCGCAAUAUGAUUUAGCUUUUUUUAUUUUUAUUUUUAAUUUUUGACCUCAAUUUCUGUUUAAUUUUGAUUAGGUCCCCAUUUGUUGUUAUUAUUAUUAUUAUUACUACCAUAUAUACAUACGCAUACUUUGAUUUUUUUUAUUUUCAUAAUUUUUUUUUACAUUCAUAAAUAUAUAUAUUUAUACACACAUAUAUUUUAAUUUUUAUAUAUAUACAUUAUUAUUUUAUUUUCAUAUUUUGUAAUAUAUUAUACUUAUUUUUAUUUAUAUUUUAUAAGUACAUGCAUAUAUUUUAUCAUUAUUUUCCUUUCAUAAUUUUGGCAUACAUAUAUAUAUUAACGUUUUUCGAUACAUAUAUAAAUAUACAUACACAUUUUAUAUUUUAUAACUCAAAACAUUCAUUUAUACCUUUUCUAUAAUAUACAUACAUUUUUAGUUAUUAUAAAUGCUUUUUUGUUAUUUCAUGUGUUCCAUUACUCUAUAUACGUAUUGUACAUAUAUAUAUGUAUUUGAAUACAUACGUAUGCGAAUUUUCACGAUUUAUCUAUGUAUAUACUUAUACAUUUUAUUUUUUCUAUUUUGUAAAUAUAUAUAUACAUAUGAUUUAAAUUAAAAUUUCAUGUUAUGCAUUAACCUUCAUCACACUUUCAAAAACAGAUAUUUUGGUUUUGUCAAAAUUUUUUGUUUAAAACCAUCAUAUUUUAUAAUUUUAAAUAUUUGGUAUUCAUGAUUCUCGUGAAAGAUCGGGUCCUAACUUACUGGAUCGCGAUUAUUUUUCGAUGAAUUUAGAAAGCCAAAUAUUUGUUUUGCAAUAAAUUCGCAAGUUUUAAAUAAAAAUCUUAUUCUCGGGAAUUCAAAAUGUUGGGUCCUAACUUACUGGUCAUGACAUUUUCUUCUCGAAAUAAGAAUUUUCAAAAGCAAAAGGCAAUAUUCAGGUAUUUUGGAGAUUUAAAGUGCCCUAACUCAUUGGGUGUGGUGUUCUAUUUCUUUGAAAUACGAAUGUCUUUUUAUUUUAAUCCAUUCAUGAAAUAAAAGUUUCCUUUUAAAAUAUUUUCAAAUUUUCGACACCAAGGCAUUAAAAAAAAUCAAUUUGGUACCAAUUUUGGGCGUUACGAGGGUGCUAAUCCUUCCUCGUGCGUAACUGACUCCCGAACCUGUUUUCUCAAAUUUCGCAGACCAAAAUUAUUUUUAAGGUGGGCCGAUCACACCUAAAUAAAGGAUCGAUGGCGACUCCAGUUUUUGUUUUUUAAGUCGAUAACUAAAAUUUUUGUUUUCAAAAAAACGGUUUCGACAAUUAAUAUUGCUCAAUUAGCCUAUUUCAUACACUUUCAACCGUACUAAACAUGUGUAAUUUAAUAAUUGGCCCUUCUCGCCAACUCUUCACCCAUUUACUAAAAAUAUUAGUGUAUUUAUAUUUUAAUUUUAAAUUGAGCAAACAAUGUAUCUCAAUUAACGCCUCACUCGUAUACAAGAGGUCUUAUAGCUCCUCGUCCAUACGAAAUUGGCAAGGUUCAUCUUUCUCCGUAACUCUCCACGAGAGAGUUUGCUCCUUUCAUUAUUCACCGCUAAGACAAUCGGCUCUCUGCGCCAUCUUAAACGAAGUAAAUCGACCUACUAUAACUUCCGCUUGUCUGAUCUUUGCAUCAACAAGCUUAAAAGCAAUCCAAGUUACCAAAAUGGUGUUCCAACUAGUGUGAAAAUAUGAAUAUCAAGCAAGGAGAAUAUUGAGAGCUCAAAGCAGAUCCAAAAUCAAUUCGACUCGUAAAUAGCAUAUUUAAAGCAAUAUUAACGAGAAAAAAAUUGAUCGCGACCUUCAAAUCUUUUAUCUGAUGCUCUGCCAACUGAGCUAUCCACUAUAUAUGUGUUAAAACCAUUUUUGCUGGUAUAAAUCUUAUUUGCAGUUUCUCCAAUGGUAUGCUAAAUUCAAUUUCCUUCUACCUUGACAAAAACUAUUGUACAGACUAACUCGAUUCCAAUUUAGAUUGAUACAGAUCACACCGUAGAUACCUUGAAUGCCAAAUUUUCAUUUAACAUUAUAAUAUUGUUAGAUUUUAAUAAUCGAUCGUAGCUGAUUAGAUUUUUCUAUCACCUAGAAAUUUAGAGAGGUUGACAAAAUCGGAAGGAUUUAAAAAAAAAAAGAGUAAGAGGUGCGAGUUCAAACCAGACCCUCAAUGGGUUGAUAAGCUUGAGAAGACGACAAAAAACGAAGGCAAAGAAGCUCUGAUCACGGAAGCAGAGAAAGAGAGUCAGCUAUGAAGUGUGGAGUUGCAGAGAAGAAGAAACAUAGCAGCGGAGGAAGAGAGGGGCGCUGUUUGUUUGGCACCUUACCCAAUUAAUCAUCUAAAUACUUGUUUGGCAAAACAAAAAUUAUAAUGCGGUGAGCGUGGAUCGAACACGCGACCUUCAGAUCUUCAGUCUGACGCUCUCCCAACUGAGCUAUCCCCGCAGAUACAACGUAGCUGAGCUAUCCCAGAAGAUGUAGCAUAUCCGCUUUUGCCUGGAAUUGUUUUACAAACAAACAGAUCACAAAGUAAAGAAAUUGAUAAAACAAUAUGCUAACAUUUAAGCGAUCUUAAAUCUUAAUGCAUCAUCUUUCAAAGAAAAUGCAGGUUGAAAGGAUCUAAAAGAAGAGAGUACCAAAGAGAUGAGAGUUUAAACAAGAGAUUGAAUGAGCUUUGUGCAUUUUUGCAGCUACUUCAAUGUUAACAAUGCUGGAUCACUUGCGAAGCCGACGAAAAUGAAAUCAAAGAAGCUCCGAGCAUAGAAGGAGAGAAAAAGAGAUCGGCUCUGAAAGUGUAAAGUUGCAGAGAAAAAGAAGAUGGUGGACGAAUAGGCGAAAAUGGCGCCACUGAAAUGUGUUUGACGCUUUAUCAAAUUAAUCAAAUAUUUGUUUCGCAAACUAAAAUUAUUUUCCCGCUUUAUUACAUCUUAUUUUUUAAUUUUUUUUUUGUUUUUUGUGAUAUUCGAAUAGCUUCAACUAAAUUCAAAAUCGAAAUAACUAACGAGUACAAAUCAAUUCACUCGAUUGCACAUCCUCUUGCAUUGACAAUAAUAUUCAUGUCAAUCGAGUUAAGACUCAAUCAACCACCAUCAAGUCUAUUUUUGAAUGAGAUAAAACAAAAAGAAAUGGAGAGAAAAAAAAUUGAGUUCAAUUUGAUUUUUUAAAAUCGGUUCCAUUAUAAUUUAAAUGUGUUUAAUUCAAUUUGAUUUUUGAUUUACUAGUUAAAAAAUUUAAUUAGCGUAACUGAAUCAAU
rnacentral:lncRNA from 1 species